rnacentral:rRNA from 1 species
UAACCUGCCCAAGAGACUGGGAUAACACCUGGAAACAGAUGCUAAUACCGGAUAACAACAGAUGAUGCCUAUCAACUGUUUAAAAGAUGGUUCUGCUAUCACUCUUGGAUGGACCUGCGGUGCAUUAGCUAGUUGGUAGGGUAACGGCCUACCAAGGCGAUGAUGCAUAGCCGAGUUGAGAGACUGAUCGGCCACAUUGGGACUGAGACACGGCCCAAACUCCUACGGGAGGCAGCAGUG